CGGGGCGUGGCGCAGUCUGGUAGCGCACCUGCUUUGGGAGCAGGGUGUCGGGGGUUCAAAUCCCUCCGCCCCGACCA
rnacentral:tRNA from 1 species